rnacentral:lncRNA from 1 species
GAAAGGAAAGGAAAGUGUUAAUCUGAUCUCAAGCCAAAUUGCGUCUUUCUCUCUCUCACUCACGAAGCCGAAACCUCGCCUAAUCGCGUCUCUGGCCCAAAGCUUCCAGCUAAACGAAGCCGAAAACUCGACGAACUCGCCGUCUCUCUCUGUCUCCCAAUGUAUUUUCUACUUCCCCCAAUAUUCAUCUAGUACUGCUUGGUUCUCUACAACCCACCGAAUCCACCGAGUCCAAUCUCCUAUAUUCGAAGUAUUCCUCCACAUGAACCACCUACGAAAUAAUCCAUACCCCAACAAGAAGUAUAAAUCUUACUGUCUUUCCGGUAGCUUUAAAAAUAAAGGUUCCUCAAACUUCUAAUUUUUUUUUCUCUGUUUGAACCUUUUGAAUUCAAAUUGAAUGUUUAAAAAGUUUUGCACUGUUUGGUGGUUUAGGCACAAGGAGAUAGGUUGGGCUGAGGUGUAAUAAGGAGGAUAAAAUGGGUUCAUGAUAUAAAUCAAUGGUGGUGAAACUGAUAGUCUAAAAUUGCGUCUACCAACUGUUUGAUAAAAGUUCUAAAAGAACUGUUUUGAUUGAAUUUAUAUAUGUAUAUUUGAAUUUAUACUACUAUUAAUAUAAUCCAAUGGUGGCAUAUAGUGAUAUCCAGGGAGUGCUGGGGUUUUGGGUUAAGUAGUGUGAUGCAGAAUAAAGGGGCUACAUAACAUAUUUAAUGUAGAGGAUUCCUUGAAACUUUUUAGAGCAUCGUAAGGGCUGUGACAGUAGAGGAUUCCUUGCAACUUCUUAGGUUUUUUCCUUCUAAUUAAGUGCAUUUGGUGUUUUAACAGUUGAGCAGUAGCAAUUAAUAUAUCAGACAUAUAACAGUUGAGCAGUAUUGUUGUAAUUGAUUAUGUUAUUAUAUUUUACAAAAAAAAAUACCAUUUUUAUAUAACA